rnacentral:lncRNA from 1 species
UAAAUGCCUCUUGAAGAAUUAUGAUAUGGGAAUAGUAUGUGUACCAAAUUAAAAAUUUAUAUUCUGUGAAGGAUAUAUCUAAAAACAUAUAAAAAUAAUUCAGCAAACCAUCAGAUACAAAAGUUAAUCUGACAAAAUCCAGAUAAAGCACCAACAGUUUGACAGAGCCAAUAAAAUCAUCCACACAGAAUGUAGGGAAAAUUUUGCACAGCCAGAUAAAAGAAAUUAUUUGAUCAAAUGUUUGAAUUUCAUACAGAACUAGGAAAACGGAGGGACAAUACAGCCCUAGGUGUCCUCACUCCCACCAUCUCUUCAUCCUUGUCUUGCACAUCACACAGCACAGCCAGCCUUAACAGUCACUGA